CGCGGGAUGGAGCAGUCUGGUAGCUCGUCGGGCUCAUAACCCGAAGGUCGUAUGUUCAAAUCCUGCUCCCGCAA
rnacentral:tRNA from 1 species